rnacentral:rRNA from 1 species
AGUGAACGCUGGCGGUAGGCCUAACACAUGCAAGUCGAACGGCAGCACAGUAAGAGCUUGCUCUUACGGGUGGCGAGUGGCGGACGGGUGAGGAAUACAUCGGAAUCUACUUUUUCGUGGGGGAUAACGUAGGGAAACUUACGCUAAUACCGCAUACGACCUACGGGUGAAAGCAGGGGAUCUUCGGACCUUGCGCGAUUGAAUGAGCCGAUGUCGGAUUAGCUAGUUGGCGGGGUAAAGGCCCACCAAGGCGACGAUCCGUAGCUGGUCUGAGAGGAUGAGCGGCAACAGUGGGACUGAGACACGGUCCAGACGCCUACGGGAGGCAGCAGGAGGGAAUGUUGCGCAAUGGGUGAAAGUGUGACGGAGCAAGGGCGCGUGAGUGAUGAAGGUAUUCGGAUCGUAAAACUCUGUUAUGAGGGAAGAACAAAUGGGUACGUAAAUGUGCACACCUUGACGGUACCUAAUCAGAAAGCCACGGCUAAAUACGUG